rnacentral:tRNA from 1 species
UCCUCGUUAGUAUAGUGGACAGUAUCUCCGCCUGUCACGCGGAAGACCGGGGUUCGAUUCCCGGACGGGGAG